UACGGAGGGUGCAAGCGUUGUUCGGAAUUACUGGGCGUAAAGCGCGUGUAGGCGGUCUUUUAAGUCUGGUGUGAAAGCCCGGGGCUUACCCCCGGAAGUGCACUGGAAACUGGGAGACUAGAGUACCGGAGAGGAGGGUGGAAUUCCUGGUGUAGCGGUGAAAUGCGUAGAUAUCAGGAGGAACACCGGUGACGAAGGCGGCCCUCUGGACGGAUACUGACGCUGAGACGCGAAAGCGUGGGGAGCAAACAGG
rnacentral:rRNA from 1 species